CUGAGGUCGUCGCUCAGCCCGCCUGUUCAGCUGAGGUCGCCGCUCAGACCGCCUGUUCAGCUGAGGACGUCGCUCACCCCGCCUGUUCAGCUGAGGACGUCGCUCAGCCUCCCUGUUCAGCUGAGGUCGUCGCUCAGCCCGCCUGUUCAGCUGAGGUCGUCGCUCAGCCCGCCUGUUCAGCUGAGUCCUCAGCUGAACAGGCGGGGUGAGCGACGUCCUCAGCUGAACAGGCGGUCUGAGCGGCGACCUCAGCUGAACAGGCGGGCUGAGCGAC